rnacentral:rRNA from 1 species
UACGUAGGUGGCGAGCGUUGUCCGGAUUUACUGGGCGUAAAGAGCGCGCAGGCGGUCGUACAAGUCGCGUGUGAAAGCCCCUGGCUCAACUGGGGAGGGUCACGCGAUACUGUUCGACUUGAAGGCAGGAGAGGGAAGCGGAAUUCCCGGUGUAGUGGUGAAAUGCGUAGAUAUCGGGAGGAACACCAGUGGCGAAGGCGACUUCCUGGCCUGUUCUUGACGCUGAGGCGCGAAAGCUAGGGUAGCAAACGGG